CCUGAGGGCAGCAGCCGGGGCCCCGAGAUAAGAGCUAUCGCCGCGCGGGGCUUUUCCUAGGGUAGUGGCACAGAGCUUUCAGUGCGUCCCUCAUCCCCACCCCACCUCAGCCCGAGGAGAAUGUGUCCGGCGCUCCCACUGGCUGCUGGCUGCUCAGCAAUAUUGAAAUGUGAAAGUUGCCUUCCCAAGGCGUUUAGUCUGCUCAAGGGAGUUAUUCACUAUAUCCAUGGAACAAGUCUUAGGCAUAAGGAAGAUGAACCAGGGAUUGCUCGCCAGGUUGGAUGGUUCGUCCCCACCCACCCCCUUCUUUUUUCUAUGUAGUAUUCUAAUUGUUUCGAACUGCAGGCAGUGAAAUGAGGUGAAGCUCCCCAAAAUCAAAAGUGGCACCCGGGACUCUCACAAUCUUGGUGGCUGACUACUAUUGAGAUAGCAACCUCUUUAUGACAUCAUCUGCACAUUCUUCUGGGCCAAAACUUUUGAGGCACACAUACUGGAGAAUUUAAUCUAACUCUUUUUCAAACCACCCCCUCUUCCUCCAAAAAUCAUAAAUCAGUAUUUAGCUCACAGAAUCUUUAAAAAGGGCCAGCCUCCCUCCCUCCUCCAUCCUGACUAUCAAGAAAACCUUUGUAUGGCAAUAAAUAUCAAAAUGACCACUUA